rnacentral:rRNA from 2 species
GAUGAACGCUGGCGGCGCGCCUAACACAUGCAAGUCGAACGAUUAAAGCACCUUCGGGUGUGUAUAAAGUGGCGAACGGCUGAGUAACACGUGGGCAACCUGCCCCUCUCAUUGGGAUAGCCACGGGAAACCGUGGAUAAUACCGAAUACUUCGAGACUUCCGCAUGGAAGACUCGAGAAAGCUCCGGCGGAGAGGGAUGGGCCCGCGGCCUGUUAGCUUGUUGGUGGGGUAACGGCCUACCAAGGCAAUGAUGGGUAGCUGGGUUGAGAGACCGACCAGCCAGAUUGGGACUGAGACACGGCCCAGACUCCUACGGGAGGCAGCAGUGGGGAAUCUUGCACAAUGGGCGAAAGCCUGAUGCAGCGACGCCGCGUGCGGGAUGAAGGCCUUCGGGUUGUAAACCGCUUUCAGCAGGGACGAGGCGAAAGUGACGGUACCUGCAGAAGAA